GUCUACGGCCAUACCACCCUGAACAAGCCCGAUGUCUGAUCUUGGAAGCUAAGCAGAGUUGGGCCUGCUUAAAUGGGAGACCACCUAGGAAGACCAGGUGGUGUAGGCA
rnacentral:rRNA from 1 species